CCUACGGGGGGCAGCAGUGGGGAAUAUUGGGCAAUGGGCGCAAGCCUUACCCAGCAAUACCGCGUGAGUGAAGAAGGUCUUCGGAUUGUAAAGCUCUUUGAUCAGGGACGAACAGAUGACGGUACCUGAAGAACAAGCCCCGGCUAACUACGUGCCAGCAGCCGCGGUAAAACGUAGGGGGCGAGCGUUGUCCGGAAUGACUGGGUGUAAAGGGUGCGUAGGCGGCAUAUGAAGUUAGAAGGGAAAUACCCAGAGCUUAACCUGGGUGCUGCUUCUAAGACUGUUGGGCUUGAGUGCGGGAGAGGUUAGUGGAAUUCCUGGUGUAGCGGUGAAAUGCGUAGAUAUUAGGCGGAACACCAGUGGCGAAGGCGAUUACCUGGACCGUGACUGACGCUGAGGCACGAAAGUGUGGGUAGCAAACAGGAUUAGAUACCCUGGUAGUC
rnacentral:rRNA from 1 species